GGCGGGGUGAGGUUCAGUCUUUCUGUGGAGUCAUUGUUCUCGUCGAGAACACAAUCGAAGUUCAGGAUGAACAUCAUGACGACGCCUUCUUCGUUCUUCACAGGGAUGAUCGUGUUAAUGAAGACAUACGGCCCGAAGCCCAGAUGAAGAGCUGUGAAUGGAAAUACAGAGAUCACUGAGGAUUUCAAACUGCCAAAUGAAUGAUGCUUCAAUUGAGAACACGGCAAAAUGUGUUCGGAAUGACAUAAAGGCAAGUAAAUGAUCAAAUCGUCAUUAUUGGAUGAAUAGAUUCAUUUAACCGGUGGAUAUCUGUUCUUACAUUACACUAUUAAAAAAUUUCACAAACGAUAUCAGUCACUUGUUUUUUAUUUUUGACAAAUAAGCAUUAAACCCGGGGGAUAUUAUACAACCAUCCACUGACAACAUACGUCAUAUUUCAUACACAAUAACACACGUCACAUCAACUCAUCAGCACAGCUUAGUCACGGCUCUUUAUUGAAUUACGAACAUUAUUUAUUUAAUAAUCCCUGAAUACUUGAUGACAACGUACAUCCGCGGAACAGACGGUAAAUUACAGAAAUACUCUCUUCUGAAAACCACCCCUGGAGCUGGAUGUACGCCAGAGGAUGUAACUGUGGAUAAAUGUGGUGAAUCUGACCCAGAGGUCAAAGGUCAGAGUCCGUGCUGCUCUCUGCAGGCUCAUCCUCGUUUGCCUGCCCUUACUCCACAGACAAUUGCCUGCGUGCUGUAUGACAGAAAGCAGAGCUCUAAAGCACAAUGAAUUUGUCCACUCGGACAUCGGUGUUCUUUUUUUUAGUCCAAUCCAUCCUUAUCUCUCUCUCAUUGAGUCCACGGCCAAAGCACCGUUAGAGAUGAAAGGAUACAAAAAUGCUUCGCAGGCUCCAGAUAUCUGCUGCGCGAGAGGAUUAUUAAUGUUUGGGUGUCUGACCAGGACAAAUAUGCUUGUGUUUUGUCGGCUUUGAUGGUUUUUGUAAAUGAAAACAAAUGUAGAAUAUACAGCCGCAGAAAAAAAUCAAGAGACCAUUCCAAAUUUUCAUUUAAUGAGCAUUUCUAGAUGUAUUGUGGCCAUUCCAGUCUGAAUUGAAUAAAAAUAAUUAUUGAACUUUUCCUAAAUACAUAUACAAAUAUUACUGUUGUAUUGUUUAAAAGUGAAUAUGAACUUGUUUUCUUUGCUGUAUUUGAGACCUGAAAAAAUACAGAGCCUGUUUCACCAAUUUUUAUUUUCCGCAAAUAGAAACAAUAUUUUUUCCCAAAUUUGGGAGAAUAUUGUUAGCAGUUCACAAAAUAAAACAAAAAUGAUAAUUUUACCUAAACCCAUACCUAUAAAUAGUAAAAAACAUUUUUUUUAAAUGGUCUCUUAAUUUUUUACGCUGCUGUAGGGAUAGAAUAUAGAAUUAGGUUUUUUUUGACAUCCUAUGGUUACUAUGAACUGUUACUAUAUGAUCUUCAUAACCAUUUUAACUUUUGUGUUUUUAUGUAUUUAUGAAUUUGAAAUAUAAAUAUAAAGCGAUUUUCUUUAGCAAGUGGUGAUUUUUAUUUGAAUUUUGUACUUUAGCUUCUCAUCAGAUUCCAGGCUGUGAGGAAAACUAAACAAUUUUGGCUCAUUAAAAAGGGACAGGACCACUUACUAUCUCCUCCUUACUUUGUUUCAUUACGUAAUUCAUUACGAAAUAACGUAAAUGUAUCAAAAUCCGCACAUUUUAAAGCACUUCAAGGGGUCUUUAAAUUCUUUUUUAGAUUGCUGUUCUGAAACAUUUCAGAUUAUUGUACUUGGCCUUUAAAAUGCUCUGUAAAAAUAGUGUUUCGGUUGAUACUGUAUGCUCAUUUUUUGCCUCUCAUGUCCACAGCCACACUCGGCAGGAAGCAAAUAUAUCCCUUUUAAAUGCUGACAGCACUAAAGGUCAUAUACUGUAGGUCACACGCAGUGGAUUAUGGUGAGAGAGCGACAUGAAUGUGGAGGACUAAGCAUUUCUUACAUCUCAAACACUACAUCAACGUCUUCUGCACAGACAGGCAUCAUUAAUAUUAUUAACACAAAACGCAUAAGAAAACGGAUUAAAUGAGGUGUGAAGUGUUUUCGUCUAAUGCUGUUUAAUCUAUACGCUCAAUAUUAUCAAAAGGGCAUCCGGACUGAAAGUGGCUUUGAAAAUCUUCUGAAGAUGAAAAAUGUCAUGACCUGACCAUGAGAAGGUAUGAUCUCUGCGUUCAACCUUUUACUACAUCUAAGCACUUAUAGGCCGGUUUCACAGACAAGGCUUAAAGCCACAAUAUGGAAUAUUUGGACCGCUAGAUGGCGCACUUUCGAAACAACAACAAAACGCGAAGCUAAAUGACGUUAUGUAGGAGAGUGGAAUUACGAGACAUGUCGUUUUCACCAUCCAGAGGCGUAUGGAGAUCGCCCAUCAUGUUCACGGACGAGGUAAUGAAUUUAUUUUAUGUCAUCGUAAUGAAUUAGCUUGCAAGAAACGUGGAAUGUAAUGCUACGUUAGCCCGCGACUGAUAUUGGACUUUGUCCAUUGAUUUGGUAGCGUAAUGCUACACAGUUUUACGUGUUUAAAACAGUCAUACGGUCGUCGUUUAAAAAGUAAAUUGGAACGAACCCACAGCAUUUACAAGUAACGUUAUUGGCUACAUAUUUUUGUGUGACAUAUACUGUAUUUAAUAGGGUAACUGCAUUCAUAACUAUUCAAAUGAUCUGUGCAUGAGUAUUUCGUGUACAAUAAAAAAAAUGUGCUAUUAAAACAUGCGAGAGCGGAGUCUGUGUUGAGUCCAAGUUGGUCGCGAAGCUCUCUCCAUUUAAAAAACGCCACGCCGAUAUUAAUCCUUGUUUUAUUUCUUCGUUUGUCCAUAAGCCUGCUUGCCUCAUUGGCCUACGUUUACACUUUUUUGGGUUUCCUUUACCCACCAAAGAGUAAUCGUGAUCCAUAAUAACAGAACAACAGAUGCUGCGUCCCAGAUGCUGUAACCACUUCCGCAUGUGCGUGUUGCCGUAGUUUCUACAACCGGAAACUGAGGGUAGUGCGGAGCAGCGGAUAUUAAGUCACUGAUAUGCGACAAACACAAGGGAGACAAGGGACGGGCCAUUAUUUUAAAUAGGAAUUUCUCUGGAUUUGCACAUUCUUGGGAACAUUUGGGAUAAUGUAAGUACACAACUGCAUGAAAUAUAUCACACUGUGCAAGUGAUUUUUGGAUAUUUCAUAACAAAAUUCGGUAACACUUUACAAUAAGGUGCUAUUAUUUAACAUUAGUAAAUGCAUUAGCUAACGUUAGAUAACAAUGAACAAUUUAUUUUUUCAGCAUUUAUUAAUCCUUGUUAAUGUUAGUUUAUGUCAGUACAGUUAUUCAUGUUAAUUCAUGAUGCAUUAACUAAUGUUAACAGUGACCAUGUUUGAUUUUAAUAAUGUAUUAGUAAAUGCUGAAAUGAACACGAAUUAACAUUAAUAAGUGAUGUAUUAGUAUUGUCCAUUGUUAGAUCAUUUUAG